UACGUAGGGUGCGAGCGUUAAUCGGAAUUACUGGGCGUAAAGAGCGUGUAGGCGGCCAAGCAGGUCCGUUGUGAAAACUGGAGGCUUAACCUCCAGACGUCGACGGAAACCGCGUGGCUAGAGUCCGGGAAGAGGAGAGUGGAAUUCCUGGUGUAGCGGUGAAAUGCGCAGAUAUCAGGAAGAACACCCGUGGCUAAGGCGGCUCUCUAGUACGGUACUGACGCUGAGACGCGAAAGCGUGGGGAGCGAACAGG
rnacentral:rRNA from 1 species